GAGUUUGAUCCUGGCUCAGAAUGAACGCUGGCGGCAUGCCUAACACAUGCAAGUCGAACGAAGGCUUCGGCCUUAGUGGCGCACGGGUGCGUAACGCGUGGGAAUCUGCCCUUGGGUUCGGAAUAACAGUUAGAAAUGACUGCUAAUACCGGAUGAUGUCGUAAGACCAAAGAUUUAUCGCCCAAGGAUGAGCCCGCGUAGGAUUAGCUAGUUGGUGGGGUAAAGGCCCACCAAGGCGACGAUCCUUAGCUGGUCUGAGAGGAUGAUCAGCCACACUGGGACUGAGACACGGCCCAGACUCCUACGGGAGGCAGCAGUGGGGAAUAUUGGACAAUGGGCGAAAGCCUGAUCCAGCAAUGCCGCGUGAGUGAUGAAGGCCUUAGGGUUGUAAAGCUCUUUUACCCGGGAUGAUAAUGACAGUACCGGGAGAAUAAGCUCCGGCUAACUUCGUGCCAGCAGCCG
rnacentral:rRNA from 1 species